AACCACUGUCAAAUUGCAGUUUGUUAUUUCAAAUUUUCUGCAGAGUCAGCUGUUCUGAUUGGCAUCCUUCUGUUUUGAACAGGUUAAGAAUUAAGAAACUUGUCGUAAUUACCUUUGCCACAACCCACCGGUCAACCUGCCAGAUGUGCCAGCUGUAUCACCAUCCGUUUACCAUGCUAAUUUUCUCUCUCCGACGCUCAUGAACUGCGAACCAUUUUCUGGCUGGGGACCAACAAAAGCUAUGCUGGCUAGAGAGGAUCGGCGUUGGCCUGCUCAUCGUGAAGGUGUGUGUACCUGAGAUUAAACUGAACCAGGAUAGAGACAACAACCCCAAAGCAUGAGCAGUAUUUGAAUUCUAAGUCAGCCUGCUUGAGGUCAGAAUUUGAGGUCUGGGAAUUCCAAGGCAAUGCAAGGUGAGCCACACUUUCUGGACAAUGGGAGGAUGAUAAACUGACUUUCUGAGUCUCAGGGAUUUAAAAUAAUAAAAAGAAUAGUCCUUUUCCCUAAGGUACAGCUCCUUGUGAAUCCCCUUCAAAAGAAGACAUGGAUCCCCCAAGAUGGAGGACAGAAGGAAAAGCCUGUUUGCAUAAUGUGUGCAUAUGCUAUUGUAUAUGAAUGUAUGCCAAUUCAAAUGGCAUUACUACAAUGUAAAUAAAAAUAUAGAAACAUAGAAACAGAGCAAGUCAGAAGGGGUCUCAUGGGUCAUCUAGUCUGACCCCUGGCUCUGGCUAGCUUUGCUCACAACAUGCCCACCAUGUGCAUGUUUAGCCUAUCCUUGUAAACCCUCACUGAUGGGGACUCAACCACCUCCCAUGGAAAUACGGCAUGUUUCACUAUCAUUGGAAAGGUGUGACUGCCUUAGCUGGGUGGUUUGCUUAUCUACUGACUGACUUCUUCCAAUGAGCAAUUUUCCCUGUGAGAAAAUUCGGCUCGUCAUCCUAAAAACAGACUUGGACAGGACCGCCCUUCAAACAGAGGAUAACUUCAAACAGUGGAUGGUCCCCUGACGUUCUAAUAUGGAACUGUUCUCCAGAAAAGAGGACGACAUAUGGCUUUCUUGUCGGGGGCUUUGACUGAGGCCUUUGUCAUCCUCUUGAGCUGCUCCUGCUAGCAGGGGUCUUUCCCAGCCUCUCAACCCCAGAUCAGGGGCAGACAAGGCCUUUAAACCCAGUGCUCCAUUCAACCAAAGACACUCUCCCCCACCAGCUCCAGUGUUAUGGUCUCAAGGGCAACAGCAGCUACAGCAAUUCAUUACAGUCAGUGACCAGUUUGUCCUUAAUAAAGAAUUUACAAAUAGGACCAUAGGUUAAAAUAUUCCAAUUAUUAAAAGGCAAAAUAACAAUGAGCGAAUGAUAUCAAAUUGAUUAAAAUUACCUGUUACAAUUUCUAAUUAAAAAACAUUGCAUACAAUAUUUUUGUGAAUCUUGCAGGCAGCUGCGAAAAGCCUGGCACAGCAAACUGUGAGCUGGGCACUGGUGCCUAUAAGAAGCUGGAGCAACCUCAGGAUCGGCUCUGCCUGGUCACCUCCUGAACCGAUGAGACAUGAACUUGGCCCGUAUUUCGUGAUAAAGCCGUGCAAUGUUGCAAUCGUCUCAAAGGUGGUGCAAGCGUUGCCCGGCUCGCCCUUCGCUUCACGUGGCCUCCUUUCUUCUUCACACACUUUCAUCAUGUCAGGCCAGUGAAGGAUGGGUCCAGUUGCUCCGGUCGGGACCGCAGCAGCGUGUCUGCUGGAAACUUUCGGACUGGGUCAGCUGCCCGAUCGGCGCAACGUUUUCCAGCAUUUUGACAGCAGAUGCCGUGAGACAAAACUUUUCAGGUUGGGAGACCGCUGGAAGUUCAAAUUCCAGCUCAGUUGUAAAGAUGUUUAGAGCCAAAGCAGAAUCAAACUUUA